UGGCUCAGAAUCAACGCUGGCGGCGUGCCUCAGACAUGCAAGUCGAACGCGAAAGUCCCCUUCGGGGGAUGAGUAGAGUGGCGUCCGGGUGAGUAACACGUAGGUAAUCUACCUUUGGGUGGGGAAUAACGCAGGGAAACUUGCGCUAAUACCGCAUAAUGCAGCGGCACCACAUGGUGACAGUUGUUAAAGCGGGGGAUUUUCGAACCUCGCGCCUAAAGAGGAGCCUGCGGCAGAUUAGCUAGUUGGUAGGGUAACGGCUUACCAAGGCAACGAUCUGUAGCCGGCCUGAGAGGGCGGUCGGCCACACUGACACUGACAUACGGGUCAGACUCCUACGGGAGGCAGCAGUCGGGAAUUUUGGGCAAUGGGCGAAAGCCUGACCCAGCAACGCCGCGUGAAGGAUGAAAUCCCUCGGGAUGUAAACUUCGCAAGAAUGGGAAGAAUUANCGAGUAUUAAUACUGCUCG
rnacentral:rRNA from 1 species